GAAGAAACUAACAAGGAUUUUCUUAGUAGCGGCGAGCGAAAAGAAAUCAGUUCAGCACUAAGUCACUUUGUCUAUAUGGCAAAUGUGAGAUGCAGUGUAUGGAACAUCAAUAUUCUAAUAUGAGAAAUUAACGAUUUAAGUCCUUCUUAAAUGAGGCCAUUUACCCAAAGAGGGUGCCAGGCCCGUAUAACGUUAAUGAUUAUUAGAUGGUGUUUCCAAAGAGUCGUGUUGCUUGAUAGUGCAGCACUAAGUGGGUGGUAAACUCCAUCUAAAACUAAAUAUAACCAUGAGACCGAUAGUAAACAAGUACCGUGAGGGAAAGUUGAAAAGAACUCUGAAUAGAGAGUUAAAUAGUACGUGAAACUGCUUAGAGGUUAAGCCCGAUGAACCUGAAUAUCCGUUAUGGAAAAUUCAUCAUUAGAAUUGUAAUAUUUAAACAAUAUUAUAAUAAUAGUGUGCAUUUUUUCCAUAUAAGGACAUUGUAAUCUAUUAGUAUUAAUCAAUUUAUCAAAAAAUUAUGACUUAUUGCUUAUUUAAAUUAUAAUGCUUAUGCAUUUUUAACAUAAAAUAAAUGUCAUUAAUUUGAUAAAGUACUGAUAGAUUUAUAUGAUUACAGUGCGUUAAUUUUUCGGAAUUAUAUAAUGGCAUAAAUAUCAAUGAUUUUUGUGUUUAUUAUAUGCACUUGUAUGAUUAACAAUGCGAUAGAUUCAGGAUACCUUCGGGACCCGUCUUGAAACACGGACCAAGGAGUCUAACAUAUGUGCAAGUUAUUGGGAAAUAAACCUAAUAGCGUAAUUAACUUGACUAACUAAUGGGAUUAGUUUUUUAACUAUUUAUAGUUAAUUAACACAAUCCCGGGGCG
rnacentral:rRNA from 1 species